rnacentral:rRNA from 1 species
AGCGAACGCUGGCGGCAGGCCUAACACAUGCAAGUCGAGCGGACGUAGCAAUACGUCAGCGGCAGACGGGAGAGUAACACGUGGGAACGCGCCCUUCGGUUCGGGAUAACUCAGGGAAACUUGGGCUAAUACCGGAUACGCCCUUACGGGGAAAGAUUUAUUGCCGAAGGAACGGCCCGCGUCCGAUUAGCUUGUUGGAGGUAACGGCUCACCAAGGCGACGAUCGGUAGCUGGUCUGAGAGGAUGACCAGCCCCACUGGGACUGAGACACAGCCCAGACUCCUACGGGAGGCAGCAGUGGGGAAUAUUGGACAAUGGGCGAAAGCCUGAUCCAGCCAUGCCGCGUGGGUGAUGAAGGCCCUAGGGUUGUAAAGCCCUUUCGGCGGGGAAGAUAAUGACGGUACCCGCAGAAGAAGCCCCGGCUAACUUCGUGCCGGCCGCCGCCGUAA